UCUCCGUUGGUGAACCAGCGGAGGGUCCAUUACCGAGUUUACAACUCCCAAACCCCUGUGAACAUACCAUUUGUUGCCUCAGCGGUGCCUGCUUCGGCAGCCCGCCAGAGGACCCAAACCCUUGAUUUUAUACAGUAUCUUCUGAGUAAAUGAUUAAAUAAAUCAAAACUUUCAACAACGGAUCUCUUGGUUCUG
rnacentral:misc_RNA from 1 species